rnacentral:rRNA from 1 species
UGGGGAAUUUUGGACAAUGGGCGAAAGCCUGAUCCAGCAAUGCCGCGUGUGUGAAGAAGGCCUUCGGGUUGUAAAGCACUUUUGUCCGGAAAGAAAUCCUUGGCUCUAAUACAGUCGGGGGAUGACGGUACCGGAAGAAUAAGCACCGGCUAACUACGUGCCAGCAGCCGCGGUAAUACGUAGGGUGCAAGCGUUAAUCGGAAUUACUGGGCGUAAAGCGUGCGCAGGCGGUUUGCUAAGACCGAUGUGAAAUCCCCGGGCUAACCUGGGAACUGCAUUGGUGACUGGCAGGCUAGAGUAUGGCAGAGGGGGGUAGAAUUCCACGUGUAGCAGUGAAAUGCGUAGAGAUGUGGAGGAAUACCGAUGGCGAAGGCAGCCCCCUGGGCCAAUACUGACGCUCAUGCACGAAAGCGUGGGGAGCAAAACAGGAUUAGAUACCCUGGUAGUCCACGCCCUAAACGAUGUCAACUAGUUGUUGGGGGAUUCAUUUUCCUUAGUAACGUAGCUAACGCGUGAAGUUGACCGCCUGGGGAGUACGGUCGCAAGAUUAAAACUUAAAGGAAUUGACGGGGUCAUAGCUGUUUCCU